rnacentral:rRNA from 1 species
AGUGAACGCUGGCGGUAGGCCUAACACAUGCAAGUCGAACGGCAGCACAGGAGAGCUUGCUCUCUGGGUGGCGAGUGGCGGACGGGUGAGGAAUACAUCGGAAUCUACUCUGUCGUGGGGGAUAACGUAGGGAAACUUACGCUAAUACCGCAUACGACCUACGGGUGAAAGCAGGGGACCUUCGGGCCUUGCGCGAUUGAAUGAGCCGAUGUCGAAGUAGCUAGUUGGCGGGGUGAAGGCCCACCAAGGCGACGAUCCGUAGCUGGUCUGAGAGGAUGAUCAGCCACACUGGAACUGAGACACGGUCCAGACUCCUACGGGAGGCAGCAGUGGGGAAUAUUGGACAAUGGGCGCAAGCCUGAUCCAGCCAUACCGCGUGGGUGAAGAAGGCCUUCGGGUUGUAAAGCCCUUUUGUUGGGAAAGAAAUCCAGCUGGCUAAUACCCGGUUGGGAUGACGGUACCCAAAGAAUAAGCGCCGGCUAACUUCGUGCCAGCCGCCGCCGUAA